AACGCACAUUGCGCCCCCUUGGUAUUCCGAGGGGCAUGCCUGUUCGAGCGUCAUUACAACCCUCAAGCAUCUGCUUGGUGUUGGGCCUCGCCGCUAACCCGGCGGGCUCUAAAAACAGUGGCGGUGCCGUCGGGCUCUGAGCGUAGUAAUUCUUCUCGCUAUAGAGUCCCGGUGGAUGCUGGCCAACAACCCCCAAUUUUCUAUGGUUGACCUCGGAUCAGGUAGGGAUACCCGCUGAACUUAA
rnacentral:misc_RNA from 1 species